AGUGAACGCUGGCGGUAGGCCUAACACAUGCAAGUCGAACGGCAGCACAGUAAUAGCUUGCUCUUACGGGUGGCGAGUGGCGGACGGGUGAGGAAUACAUUGGAAUCUACUUUUUCGUGGGGGUGAACGUAGGGAAACUUACGCUAAUACCGCAUACGACCUACGGGUGAAAUCAGGGGAUCUUCGGACCUUGCGCGAUUGAAUGGGCCGAUGUCGGAUUAGCUAGUUGGGGGGGUAAACGCCCACCAAGGCGGCGAUCCGCCGAUGGACUGAGCGGAUGGUAGCCGACACUGGAAGUGAGACACGGACCAGACUCCUACGGGACGCAGCAGUGGGGAAUAUUGGGCAAUGGGCGGGAGCCUGAUCCAGCCAUACCGCGUGGGUGAAAAAGGCGUUCGGGUUGUGAAGCCCUUCUGUUGGGAAAGAAAAGCAGCCGGUUAAUACGCCGCUGUUCUGACGGUACCCAAAGAAUAAGCACCGGCUAAAUUCGUG
rnacentral:rRNA from 1 species